rnacentral:rRNA from 1 species
ACCUGGUUGAUCCUGCCAGUAGUCAUACGCUCGUCUCAAAGAUUAAGCCAUGCAUGUCUAAGUAUAACUCUUUUACUUUGAAACUGCGAACGGCUCAUUAUAUCAGUUAUAAUUUAUUUGAUAGUCCCUUACUACUUGGAUAACCGUAGUAAUUCUAGAGCUAAUACAUGCGUCAAUACCCUUCUGGGGUAGUAUUUAUUAGGAUGGAAACCUAACCCCUUGGGGUNAUGUGGUGAAUCAUAAUAAGCUUGCGAUCGCAUGGCUUCGGCCGGCGAUGGAUCAUUCAAGUUUCUGCCCUAUCAGCUUUGGAUGGUAGGUAUUGGCCUACCAUGGCUUUAACGGGUAACGGAAUUAGGGUUGAUUCCGGAGAGGGGCCUGAGAGAUGGCCACCACGAUCCAAGGAAGGCAGCAGGCGCGUAAAUUACCCAAUACUGACACAGUGA